ACGGUGAGUAACACGUAUGCAAUCCACCUGUAACAGGGGGAUAACCCGGAGAAAUCCGGACUAAUACCCCAUAAUAUGGGCGCUCCGCAUGGAGAGUCCAUUAAAGAGAGCAAUCUUGGUUACAGACGAGCAUGCGCUCCAUUAGCCAGUUGGCGGGGUAACGGCCCACCAAGGCGACGAUGGAUGGGGUUCUGAGAGGAAGGUCCCCCACAUUGGAACUGAGACACGGUCCAA
rnacentral:rRNA from 1 species